rnacentral:rRNA from 1 species
AGUGAACGCUGGCGGCAGGCCUAAUACAUGCAAGUCGAACGGCAGCACAGUGGAGCUUGCUCCAUGGGUGGCGAGUGGCGGACGGGUGAGGAAUACAUGGGAAUCUGCCCAGUCGUGGGGGAUAACGUAUGGAAACGUACGCUAAUACCGCAUGCGCCCUUCGGGGGAAAGUCGGGGACCGCAAGGCCUGACGCGAUUGGAUGAGCCCAUGUUCGAUUAGCUAGUUGGCGGGGUAACGGCCCACCAAGGCGACGAUCGAUAGCUGGUCUGAGAGGAUGAUCAGCCACACUGGAACUGAGACACGGUCCAGACUCCUACGGGAGGCAGCAGUAGGAAUAUUGGACAAUGGGCGCAAGCCUGAUCCAGCCAUGCCGCGUGAGUGAAGAAGGCCU